GUGGGGAAUAUUGGGCAAUGGGGGCAACCCUGACCCAGCGACGCCGCGUGAGGGAAGAAGGCCUUCGGGUUGUAAACUGCUUUUGUACGGAACGAAACGGUCCUGGUUAAUACCUGGGGCUAAUGACGGUACCGUAAGAAUAAGCACCGGCUAACUACGUGCCAGCAGCCGCGGUAAUACGUAGGGUGCGAGCGUUAAUCGGAAUUACUGGGCGUAAAGCGUGCGCAGGCGGUGCUGUAAGACAGGCGUGAAAUCCCCGGGCUCAACCUGGGAAUUGCGCUUGUGACUGCAGUGCUGGAGUACGGCAGAGGGGGAUGGAAUUCCGCGUGUAGCAGUGAAAUGCGUAGAUAUGCGGAGGAACACCGAUGGCGAAGGCAGUCCCCUGGGCCUGUACUGACGCUCAUGCACGAAAGCGUGGGGAGCAAACAGGAUUAGAAACCCUGGUAGUCC
rnacentral:rRNA from 1 species